AGAGUUUGAUCCUGGCUCAGAAUGAACGUUGGCGGCGUGGAUUAGGCAUGCAAGUCGAAUGCGAAAGUAGCAAUACUAGUAGCAUGGCGAAAGGGAUAGUAAUGCAUGAGCAAUCUACCCUCGACUCCGGGAUAUGCGGUUGAAAGACCGAGUAAUACUAGACGUCGUUUUCGGAGGACAUCCUUUGGAUACGAAAGGUCCGCCGGUCGAGGAGGAGCUCAUGUCCUAUCAGCUAGUUGGCGGGGUAACGGCCCACCAAGGCAAGGACGGGUAGCGGGUGUGAGAGCACGACCCGCAUCACUGGCACUGAGACACUGGCCAGACUCCUACGGGAGGCUGCAGUCGAGAAUCUUCGGCAAUGGACGAAAGUCUGACCGAGCGACGCCGCGUGGAGGAUGAAGGCCUUCGGGUUGUAAACUCCUGUUGGGAGGGAACAAAUUUUGAGUGACCUCCUAGAGA
rnacentral:rRNA from 1 species